UAAUUAUCGGGGACAGUGUUCCCCAUAAUUU
rfam:Ophiophagus hannah scaffold4600.1, whole genome shotgun sequence.